CCACCAAUGUGGAAUCCACUACAGGUAUCAAAAGUGGAAAGGUGGCCUGCAUAAUUUUAAUGACAGUGUCAUUCUUGACCUCCCUUCAUGCCUACAUCUUCGAAACAUGCUACAGGCCCACACUGCUGUCGGGAGAGUGGUUCAGUGUCUGGAAGUCACUAUAGGGGAACAGUUUCCUCCAGCCAAAACAGUGCUCCAUGCCAUCUCCAUUUUGAGGCACUCACAGGUCACGAGUAUGAAUACUCUUAUGUGACAUGUGGGGAUCAUCCACCCAUUGUCAUCAUGGAUCUCCACA